rnacentral:rRNA from 1 species
AAAGCACUUUCAGUCAGUGAGAAGUAGUGUAGUUAAUAGCGGUAUCAUUUGACGUUAGCGGCAGAAGAAGCACCGGCUAACUCCGUGCCAGCAGCCGCGGUAAUACGGAGGGUGCGAGCGUUAAUCGGAAUUACUGGGCGUAAAGCGCAUGCAGGUGGUUUGUUAAGUCAGAUGUGAAAGCCCGGGGCUCAACCUCGGAAUUGCAUUUGAAACUGGCAGACUAGAGUACUGUAGAGGGGGGUAGAAUUUCAGGUGUAGCGGUGAAAUGCGUAGAGAUCUGAAGGAAUACCGGUGGCGAAGGCGGCCCCCUGGACAGAUACUGACACUCAGAUGCGAAAGCGUGGGGAGCAAACAGGAUUAGAUACCCUGGUAGUCCACGCCGUAAACGAUGUCUACUUGGAGGUUGUGGCCUUGAGCCGUGGCUUUCGGAGCUAACGCGUUAAGUAGACCGCCUGGGGAGUACGGUCGCAAGAUUAAAACUCAAAUGAAUUGACGGGGGCCCGCACAAGCGGUGGAGCAUGUGGUUUAAUUCGAUGCAACGCGAAGAACCUUACCUACUCUUGACAUCCAGAGAACUUUCCAGAGAUGGUUUGGUGCCUUCGGGAACUUUGAGACAGGUGCUGCAUGGCUGUCGUCAGCUCGUGUUGUGAAAUGUUGGGUUAAGUCCCGCAACGAGCGCAACCCUUAUCCUUGUUUGCCAGCGAGUAAUGUCGGGAACUCCAGGGAGACUGCCGGUGAUAAACCGGAGGAAGGUGGGGACGACGUCAAGUCAUCAUGGCCCUUACGAGUAGGGCUACACACGUGCUACAAUGGCGCAUACAGAGGGCGGCCAACUUGCGAAAGUGAGCGAAUCCCAAAAAGUGCGUCGUAGUCCGGAUUGGAGUCUGCAACUCGACUCCAUGAAGUCGGAAUCGCUAGUAAUCGUGGAUCAGAAUGCCACGGUGAAUACGUUCCCGGGCCUUGUACACACCGCCCGUCACACCAUGGGAGUGGGCUGCAAAAGAAGUAGGUAGUUUAACCUUCGGGAGGACGCUACCACUUUGGU